rnacentral:lncRNA from 10 species
CAAUUGUCUUCUGGCAUAAUUGGUGCUACAGAGAACAUUGAGAUCUGGGCUACAUUUUGCCAAGGAGAGGAACAUCUGUGGAGUCUGGAAAGUGGAAGUAAAUCGGAAGCUUUAUUCUCUGGAGGUGGUGGCUGCCAGAUGAACAUGCACACUGUCUUCUGCCAUUUCUGGGACUGCAUGGAGCCUGACCCAGCAGUGGGCACAGAAACAUGCAGGUGCAGAAAUACUGAGGAUGAAAAGCUUACUGUAGCUUUGCAACAGCUUGAAGAUAUUGAACUGAAAUCUGAAAUGCGUUAAGGAGCAAGACACAGAAGACAUGGAGAUCCAUGUAGAAUCAUAAGAAGGUAAAGAAGAAGGAAAAAAGGUAGCCCCUAGAAGCUUGGAACUGCCCU